GGGGAUUUAGCUCAGUGGUAGAGCGCUUGCCUAGCAUGUGCAAGGCCCUGGGUUCGGUCCCCAGCUCCA
rfam:Rattus norvegicus chromosome 2, whole genome shotgun sequence.